GGAGGGUGUAAAAGGCAUCUGGGAUAUUUGCAUUUUUGUUUACUGAAGGGAGGAAAGCAUCUCACAACUCUCUGCCGCUCUAAUUCAUUCAGGACAUGAUAUAUUUCCAAGACUGCUGCCAUCUCAGGGUUUGAAUCUGUUUUCAGUUUCACUCCAGGUUUCGCCACACAUGUAUAUUUAAAAAAAAAAGAUGGUUCCAAUACAACUUAAGAAAGAAAAGCCAGCCUGACUUCUAAAAUCCAAUUUUGCCCCCUGGAUGUGUUUUCUUCCUGGAGGGGGCCAUGUGAUCUCUCCCCUCCUCACCAUGCUGCAUUCUCCUCGUUCCAAGGCCUGGUCACAGCCAGACUGAAGCCCUUAUCCUCAGGCUGUCGGUGGUGAAUGAGAGGUAUGCCUUGCUCAGCUCUAGAGUGGAGACAAAUGGCUGUGUAACUCACCGUAAUCCAUGGCAAGAAAUGAUACAUGCCGUGAGAGGAAAAUAAAGUGCUGAUGGAAAAUUAAUCUCAUUAAGGAGAUUUGUUUGUGGUGACAUUUGAAAUGAGCCUGAAAAAUGAGGAUUUUGACAGAUGGCAAAGAGUGUCACUGGUAUUAUUAUGGUAUUAACGUUCAAUAAUAUCUAAAUGAAGCUGAAUCUGUUCAGAACUCCAGAAGAUUUUGUGAGGCCCGGUCUGGGCACACUGUUCUGCUGGCAGUAGCACCCCAACUAUCCUCUGGAGGACCAUCUCUCUCCCAUUCUCAACCUAAGUGGUUUGAAUGGGGCUGACCCCACCUCCUGGCUCUUGGUAUGUGACCCAGACUAGCCAAUAAGAGAACCACAUUCCCUUAGCACAGUCAUUGGCUCCAGGCUCAGGCAUGUGACCCAGACUAGCCAAUAAGAGAACCACAUUCCCUUAGCACAGUCAUUGGUUCAGGGGUGAGCAUGUGACCCAAGUUGGUCCAAUCCUGGAGCUUUUUCAGGAACCACCGGGGAAAAGCCAUCCUCUUUCUGCUAGGGUUGCUGAGCUGGUGGUUGGUAUUUAGGACCUGCAAGGGGCCUGUUUUGUUACCACAGAGGGAGAACCUGAGAAAUGGAGAGAUUCCUGAGCACCUGGAGCCAGCUGUGCCUGAAACUCUACUUUGGACUUUUUAGUCACUCAAGGCAAUAAAUUCACUUUUUAAUAAGCCAUUUUGUGCUUUUUCCUUGCAAACAAAAAUGUUCUAACCAAUACAGAAAAUUUUAGAUAGACUGCUUAAACAAACAAACAAAAAACCCCAGUGGAGCAAGGGGAGUUGCAGAUUCACAGAGCAGUUUCCUAGCAAAAAGAAAUCUUCCUGUUGCUAACAUUUCCAGGUCCCAGUGACUAAGAAUUUGGAGACUUUAUUCUUAACCCCCCUGGUCUGAGACUGCUCACCAAUCUGACUGACUCCUGUGUGCUAGAUAUUUUUCCAUGAAUCAGAAAUGAAAUAUGCAGCACUGUAGCCACAAAGCAAUGAAAACAGCUCAUUUGCCUUUCGUGUCUCUCCAAACAAAAAGCUUUGUUUUUUCUGGGUCACACGUUGUAAGUGAAGAGUCAUAAUGAUAAUCCUGUUUGGAUUUAUUAACAGUUGAAUAGACUAUUGAGAAAAGAUUUGUUAAUCAUCAGAAGCAAAUUCACCAUAGAAGCAUUGCAGACAGAGUGGGACAAUUGCCUUGAGCCAACUAAAUCUCUGCCCCUUCAGGGAAAACUCUUGGAUGUUUGAAUUAAGUGCCACAUCUGGAAAUGCAGAAAGAUACUUGCUUCUAUUGAGUGCUUCCUAUGUCCUUGGUACGAAGAACGGUAUUUUGCCUACAUUCUCUCUCAAUUUCAUCAACUCUAUGAGAAAGGUAACCCCAAGCAGUUACUGCUUCUACUUCAAAGUUUAUGAUCCAUGGGCAAUUACUACAGACAUUUAUCAUUUUGCAAACAUUUUAUCAUGUCACUCCUGCAGCUGUGGAUGGCCAUGUGAUUGCUUCUGGCUAGUGAGACUUGAGUAGAAGUCUUCCGGGGAUCUCUGGGUGAUGUACGGAGGAGCAGAUGUGUUGCCUCUAGCAAGGCAAUAAUUCACUUCAUUAUUAUUGUUUGAUUUGCCUUGUGUGUGCUGUUCGUUGCUAACUGAGGCCUGCAAUGCUGUCCGUGGGAUGUGAAAUGUACAGGAACGGGUCAGAAGGCCUUGGGAGAAGUGAAAAAGAAGUCAUUGCCCUGGCCUCAGUCACCUGUCCCCAGACAAAAUCACACCCUGUCAUCCAUGAAGAUUUGCAAACCAGCCCCCACUCAGCUGCUAUUUUUGACCAGAGUCCUUGCUGCCCUAGGCUCCUACCCGUGGGACCGAGAACGUUAAUGUCAGAAAGAAGUUAGAAACUGAUAUUGAAGAGCAGACCUGUGUUGGAAAGAACAUAGUUCAAGGGAGACUGGUGAAUGAAGAAGGGACGAUCAAUGUGAUGGCUGGAGCUCUAGCUGCCACAUUGGACCAUGAAGUGAAUUCAAGAUGGAAGCCAUAUGCUAAGUAUGGCAGAACAAAAAGAUAGAGGAAACCUGGAACUUUGAUGACACUGUAGCUCCCAUACCAGCCAGAAUCCAGCCUUAUUUUGUAUGAGAGAGAAAUAAGCUUCUAUCUGAUUGAAACCACUGUUAUUUCCUCCUUCACUUGGGACAUCACAAGCCUAGGGAAUCUUUGGAAGGCUUUGAGCAGAAAGUGAAGAAUUAGGGAUUUUAUUUGUUUGUUUUCUGGUAUGUUUAUUUUUUUAAGUUAAAUUAGCUGUA